UACGUAGUGGGCGAGCGUUGUCCGGAUUUAUUGGGCGUAAAGAGCUCGUAGGCGGCUUGGCAAGUCGGGUGUGAAACCUCCAGGCUCAACCUGGAGACGCCACUCGAUACUGCUAUGGCUAGAGUCCGGUAGGGGACCACGGAAUUCCUGGUGUAGCGGUGAAAUGCGCAGAUAUCAGGAGGAACACCCGUGGCGAAAGCGGCUCUCUGGAACGGUACUGACGCUGAGACGCGAAAGCGUGGGGAGCGAACAGG
rnacentral:rRNA from 1 species